CCUACGGGAGGCAGCAGUGAGGAAUAUUGGUCAAUGGGCGAGAGCCUGAACCAGCCAAGUCGCGUGAGGGAGUACUGCCCUAUGGGUUGUAAACCUCUUUUGUCGGGGAGCAAAAGCCGGACGUGUCCGGCUGUGAGAGUACCCGAAGAAAAAGCAUCGGCCAACUCCGCGCCAGCAGCCGCGCUAAAACGGAGGAUGCGAGCGUUAUCCGGAUUUAUUGGGUUUAAAGGGGGCGCAGGCGGGAUUUUAAGUCAGCGGUAAAAUCGUGGGGCUCAACCCCAUCCAGCCGUUGAAACUGGGGAUCUAGAGUGUGCGAGAGGUAUGCGGAAUGCGUGGUGUAGCGGUGAAAUGCAUAGAUAUCACGCAGAACCCCGAUUGCGAAGGCAGCAUACCGGUGCACAACUGACGCUCAGGCACGAAAGCGUGGGUAUCGAACAGGAUUAGAUACCCUGGUAGUC
rnacentral:rRNA from 1 species